GAAUAGAACAUAAUUUUUUUUUUUACAUGGUCGGACAUCUCUCCAGAUUUAGCGACCAAUAGUUUUUACAACAACGUUGGAUGUUUCUAUUCUGGUCAGUCUGCAGUCAGUGUCACUCAUUAUUCUUUAUUUAGUAUAAAUAUUAAUUCUAUGCUUGCAUCGUCCUAUAAACUCAUAUGUAGGCUAAUAACUCGCUCUCUCGCUCUCCCUCUCAUCGUAUUAAUUGUCGUGCGUGCUCCAGCAUAAUUCGAGGGAGAGAGGGAAGACGACACGCUGUUGAAGGGAGAGGAGGGAAGAGAUGCUGUUGAUUUGAACCUGCGCCGCCAGAACACGGGAUAAUAUAUCUAGCUGAGGAUCUACCUACCUGAACAAGGUGCUCCGUAUUGAACAGGCACCUGCCGUUCUUUGACCACCCAUCACCAUCACCAUGUCAAAGGACCAGUCUCUAAAUCCCUCCCAUCUGUCCCUCUCUCCACCUAUAUAGACCACCCAUCACCAUCACCAUGUCAAAGGACCAGUCUCUAAAUCCCUCCCAUCCGUCCCUCUCUCCACCUAUAUAGACCACCCAUCACCAUCACCAUGUCAAAGGACCAGUCUCUAAAUCCCUCCCAUCCGUCCCUCUCUCCACCUAUAUAGACCACCCAUCACCAUCACCAUGUCAAAGGACCAGUCUCUAAAUCCCUCCCAUCUGUCCCUCUCUCCACCUAUAUAGACCACCCAUCACCAUCACCAUGUCAAAGGACCAGUCUCUAAAUCCCUCCCAUCCGUCCCUCUCUCCACCUAUAUAGACCACCCAUCACCAUCACCAUGUCAAAGGACCAGUCUCUAAAUCCCUCCCAUCUGUCCCUCUCUCCACCUAUAUAGACCACCCAUCACCAUCACCAUGUCAAAGGACCAGUCUCUAAAUCCCUCCCAUCCGUCCCUCUCUCCACCUAUAUAGACCACCCAUCACCAUCACCACCAUGUCAAAGGACCAGUCUCUAAAUCCCUCCCAUCCGUCCCUCUCUCCACCUAUAUAGACCACCCAUCACCAUCACCAUGUCAAAGGACCAGUCUCUAAAUCCCUCCCAUCCGUCCCUCUCUCCACCUAUAUAGACCACCCAUCACCAUCACCACCAUGUCAAAGGACCAGUCUCUAAAUCCCUCCCAUCCGUCCCUCUCUCCACCUAUAUAGACCACCCAUCACCAUCACCAUGUCAAAGGACCAGUCUCUAAAUCCCUCCCAUCCGUCCCUCUCUCCACCUAUAUAGACCACCCAUCACCAUCACCAUGUCAAAGGACCAGUCUCUAAAUCCCUCCCAUCCGUCCCUCUCUCCACCUAUAUAGACCACCCAUCACCAUCACCAUGUCAAAGGACCAGUCUCUAAAUCCCUCCCAUCCGUCCCUCUCUCCACCUAUAUAGACCACCCAUCACCAUCACCAUGUCAAAGGACCAGUCUCUAAAUCCCUCCCAUCCGUCCCUCUCUCCACCUAUAUAGACCACCCAUCACCAUCACCAUGUCAAAGGACCAGUCUCUAAAUCCCUCCCAUCCGUCCCUCUCUCCACCUAUAUAGACCACCCAUCACCAUCACCAUGUCAAAGGACCAGUCUCUAAAUCCCUCCCAUCCGUCCCUCUCUCCACCUAUAUAGACCACCCAUCACCAUCACCAUGUCAAAGGACCAGUCUCUAAAUCCCUCCCAUCCGUCCCUCUCUCCACCUAUAUAGACCACCCAUCACCAUCACCAUGUCAAAGGACCAGUCUCUAAAUCCCUCCCAUCCGUCCCUCUCUCCACCUAUAUAGACCACCCAUCACCAUCACCAUGUCAAAGGACCAGUCUCUAAAUCCCUCCCAUCCGUCCCUCUCUCCACCUAUAUAGACCACCCAUCACCAUCACCAUGUCAAAGGACCAGUCUCUAAAUCCCUCCCAUCCGUCCCUCUCUCCACCUAUAUAGACCACCCAUCACCAUCACCAUGUCAAAGGACCAGUCUCUAAAUCCCUCCCAUCCGUCCCUCUCUCCACCUAUAUAGACCACCCAUCACCAUCACCACCAUGUCAAAGGACCAGUCUCUAAAUCCCUCCCAUCCGUCCCUCUCUCCACCUAUAUAGACCACCCAUCACCACCAUGUCAAAGGACCAGUCUCUAAAUCCCUCCCAUCCGUCCCUCUCUCCACCUAUAUAGACCACCCAUCACCACCAUGUCAAAGGACCAGUCUCUAAAUCCCUCCCAUCCGUCCCUCUCUCCACCUAUAUAGACCACCCAUCACCAUCACCACCAUGUCAAAGGACCAGUGUGACUCCGUAGCAGUGAGCGUCGAGUCCCUCUUAACCGACGCAGUUAAGAUGCAGUCCCAGUGUCGGGAGCGUAGUGAGCAGCUAGCUGUGGCCGCCGCCGCACUGCGGGAGGAGUCGGCGUGCUUGAGAGAACAGUGUCAAGCCACCCAGCUGGACAUGGCUCAGAUGAGAAGACAGCUAGAACAACUGCUGGACAGCAAGGCUCAGAUGGAGGCCAGUGAUCGAAUGCACCGCAAACUCAGCAAGACACUCUAAAGGGAAAGGAGGGGAAGGAGAGUGAGAAAAUAAGAACGGCUGGAUAACAAAGCUCCGACAGACCCGGGAAAACUUAGCAGUUAAAAUGUCUCCUGUUCUCUAACGCUAUCUAUCUUCCGUCUCUAAACAAUAGACUUUAUUCUUCAUAAGCAGUUAUUAUGCUAGCUAUAUAGGCCCUCAAGUCUCUUCACGGAGAUUGAAUGUUUAUGGGUCUGAAUAAAUAACUGCUAUAGUCUACCGUCAUUGGUCAUUCGCGCUUCUUUCAAACCCGCAAGUGCUAUUGGCUGCUGUAUGUAACAUUCGGCAGAAAAGAAGGAUCCUUCUAUUGGUAUAAGAAAUGCUAAAAAAAUAAUACCCCAAAAACAUAUUCUAGUUUUUCCUGCAUGGGACCAAGAGCUAAGGAGCGUUUUUUAAAGGGGAGGCGAGCGGAGCUCAGGCGCUUGGGUAUUACGCAAGAGACAGAAGCUAUAAAUUUGAAGCUUAUUAGACAUAAUCCAUAAUUAAUUAACAUAUAUAUAUAUAUAUAUAAGGCUAUAAUAUAAGGCUAAUACUGAAUUGAAUGUAUUACCUGAAAGAGGUAGGCUAGGACAUUAUAUAUAAAUAUAUAUAUUUAGGGCUAGGACAUCUAUAAUUAAUGUAUAUAGGGCUAGGACAUCAAUAUAUAGGAGAUAUAUAUAUAUAUAUAUAUAUAUAUAUAUAUAUAUAGGAC